rnacentral:rRNA from 1 species
UACGUAGGGUGCAAGCGUUGUCCGGAAUUAUUGGGCGUAAAGAGCUCGUAGGCGGUUCGUCGCGUCGGCUGUGAAAUCCCGAGGCUCAACCUCGGGUCUGCAGUGGAUACGGGCAGGCUGGAGGCAGGCAGGGGAGAACGGAAUUCCCGGUGUAGCGGUGAAAUGCGCAGAGUAUCGGGAGGAACACCGGUGGCGAAGGCGGUUCUCUGGGCCCUGGUACUGACGCUGAGGAGCGAAAGCGUGGGGAGCGAACAGG